AUUGAACGCUGGCGGCAGGCCUAACACAUGCAAGUCGAGCGAGCGGCGGACGGGUGAGUAAUGUCUGGGAAACUGCCUGAUGGAGGGGGAUAACUACUGGAAACGGUAGCUAAUACCGCAUACCAUCAGAUGUGCCCAGAUGGGAUUAGCUAGUAGGUGGGGUACCGGCUCACCUAGGCGACGAUCCCUAGCUGGUCUGAGAGGAUGACCAGCCCCACUGUGACUGAGACACGGUCCAGACUCCGACGUGAGGCAGCAGGGGGGAAUAUUGCACAAUGGGCGCAAGCCUGAUGCAGCAAGGCCGCGUGUGUGAAGAGGGCCUUCGGGUUGUAAAGCACUUUCAGCGGGGAGGCGUUACCCGCAGAAGAAGCACCGGCUAACUCCGUGCCAGCAGCCGCGGUAAUUC
rnacentral:rRNA from 1 species